GACGAACGCUGGCGGCGUGCUUAACACAUGCAAGUCGAACGGUGAAGCGCCUUCCUUUUUGGUGGGUGUGGAUGAGUGGCGAACGGGUGAGUAACACGUGAGUAACCUGCCCCCUUCUUCUGGAUAACCGCAUGAAAGUGUGGCUAAUACGGGAUAUUCUGGGUCUGUCGCAUGAUUGGUCUGGGAAAGAUAUUGUUUCGGUGGGGGAUGGGCUCGCGGCCUAUCAGCUUGUUGGUGGGGUGAUGGCCUACCAAGGCGGUGACGGGUAGCCGGCCUGAGAGGGUGGACGGUCACACUGGGACUGAGACACGGCCCAGACUCCUACGGGAGGCAGCAGGGGGGAAUAUUGCACAAUGGGCGCAAGCCUGAUGCAGCGACGCCGCGGGAGGGAUGGAGGCCUGCGGGUUGUGAACCUCUUUCGCCAGUGAAGCAGGCCUGCCUCGUUUGUGGGUGGGUUGACGGUAGCUGGAUAAGAAGCGCCGGCUAACUACGUG
rnacentral:rRNA from 1 species